UCUGUGGUAUCUCACCACCCUGGUCUAACAACUUAUGCUGCACUUAUAUGCCAGAGUAGUUUGAGAUUAUGUUCUUGUUUAUGAAUCAUUUGGCCUGAAAUGGUAUUUAGGCUGAGGAAACAGUUGUAUCAGAGGGAAAAUAAUGAUCCAAAUUGCAGCAGAGACAUCAAGUCAAAUCACUUUUAUUUUUCUUCAUAUUGGCAUACUUCCAUUAGAGGAGAAAUGCAGACAAGAAAGCAGCUGGUUUCCUGAACACAGAAAUGGGAAAAAUCUCUAAUAAGGCUUUGAAGUCACUAAGAGAAUGCCUUGUCCUUCCUGCCAGUCCUGAGGAGCACUUCACACUCAGAAACCCACCUGCUUAUGGCAACAAUGAUGAUAGAGAGUGAUAGGUGACAUGAGACAAGACAACAGAAAUGAACUUGAACUUAAAGGAAAACACCAUGCUGUACAAAAUCUUCAUCAAAACCAAAUAUUGUAAAUGUACUUGAAGCAGAGUUCAUAGCCAUGUAAAGCAAACUUAGCUGGCAUUCUUCUUUUUCUUUUGUUUAUGGAUUUUAAUUUAU